CUAGCCAUGCGAGGUCGAGAGGGUUCGGGCCCUCGGCGAACUGCUCAGUAACACGUGNGANAAUCUAACCUUAGGUGGAGCAUAACCUCGGGAAACUGAGAAUAAUACUCCAUAGAUCUUUGAGGCUGGAAUGCGCUUAGAUUGAAAGCUUCGGCGCCUAAGGAUGAGUCUGCGGACUAUCAGGUAGUAGUCAGGGUAAAGACCUGACUAGCCUACGACGGAUACGGGUUGUGAGAGCAAUAACCCGGAGAUGAUAUCUGAGACACGAUAUCAGGCCCUACGGGGCGCAGCAGGCGCGAAAACUUCACAAUGCGCGAAAGCGCGAUGAGGGGAUCCCAAGUGCUUGCACGUAAGUGUAAGCUGUUUUUCUGUCUAAAAAGCAGAGAGAGUAAGGGCUGGGUAAGACGGGUGCCAGCCGCCGCGGUAAUACCUGCAGCUCAAGUGGUGGCCGCUAUUAUUGGGCCUAAAACGUCCGUAGCCGGCUGAGUAAAUGCCUGGGUAAAUCGUGUGGCUUAACCAUACGAAUUCCGGGUAGACUGCUCAGCUUGGGACCGGAAGAAGUUAGAGGUACUCCUGGGGUAGGGGUGAAAUCCUGUAAUCCUGGGGGGACCACCAGUGGCGAAGGCGUCUAACUAGGACGGGUCUGACGGUGAGGGACGAAGCCCUGGGGCGCAAACCGGAUUAGAUACCCGGGUAGUCCAGGGUGUAAACGCUGCUUGCUUGAUGUUAGCUGGGCUCCGAGCUCGGCUAGUGUCGGAGAGAAGUUGUUAAGCAAGCUGCCUGGGAAGUACGGUCGCAAGACUGAAACUUAAAGGAAUUGGCGGGGGAGC
rnacentral:rRNA from 1 species